UGCAAGUUGCAGGUGACACCUGUUGUGCCAAACAUUCCUGCAGAGCUAACCUGGCAACUAUUUCAGGGAGAGCUCUUUUGUUGAAGUGAAUAGCCCCUUUCAACCUCAUCCUAAGCAGUGAAGUGUAGUCAUGGUUCUAGGCAGAGUAAUUCUCCUCUCUAACAAGAGUAAGCAUCAUAUCCAUCAGUCCUUGGGAUGUCCUUGCAAGGUGACGCUUGACCUGGAUUUUCUGUGAGCCUUCACAGAAUCGCCAAGGCAAGGACAGAUGCUCCAGGUGUCUCUGUACAUCUUCCCUAAACAAGGCUUUGCAGCAAGAAAUCAACAAAACAUAUUUAUUCUUCUGUGCUACAAAGGACCAACCUUGGUUUGCAUGGAGCAUCAUUCCAUAUUUAAAGGGUUUUUCUUUUAGCAACACGUCCCAGAAAGAAGAGGAGACUCCAGGAAUAGGCCGCUUCAUGGAGAAGUAGAAUUUGAGUUAUUUCCUUGUGAAGCACGGUUUCUAGGGAGCUGGCUGCCAGGGUGUGACAACCGGUAGCCACAUGUUAAGGUCACGUUGCAGAAGGCCCUUGCUCAGCAAAGGAGACCUCUGUCAUAUGGUCCUUGGCUUAAGAUUGUAAAGAACAGCUUUCUCUAGUUGAGUUCACUUAACAGCUCAUCAGCGUCUCCUGAGCCUUGAGCACAGCCUAACAUAGAGAGUUCUAGAAUCAUCCGCGUUUGUUUACCAAUCCAGCGGGGUCCUCCGGUGAGCAUUUCUUGAAUAUAAGGGGAUUCUUCUGGAAUGUCUAGACCCCUGAGGCCCUCAUUCCCUAGACCUGUUGAGAAGACAGGUUUAUCUCUUGCUGGUUUGCUAUCAAAACAGAAACAGUGUAUUUCUAUCAAUAAAACACGGCUCUGACAAUUUGUCCCUGGAGAUAAAUGGCCUUUUCCACAGAGGCUCUAAAUACAGGACAUAAUGGGAGUGAGUGGAAGGGAGUUGAAUAAUUAGAUCCUUCUCCAUAAAUCCUGCCUGAAGUCUUUCACACGGGACCAUCACCGCCUUCCGCAGUGUGGACACAGCUGUGUUCUGUGGAGGGGUGAUUGGUAAGUAAAUUGCAUAUGGUUGGGAUCUAGGGAGAAUUCAGCUCUGUGUUUUCCCAGUAGAAUUCAUUUCCUUUGUCAAAGGAACACCCACGUUAAUUUGUUUUUAUUGCUAAAAUAUGGCCACUUAUACGGCUAAUGGGAGCUAUCUCCACCUAUUUGAUUUGAGUUCAGUUUUUUUGGGGGGGGUUAUUAGGGCUGCACCCCUGGCACCCAGACUAGGGGUCUAAUCAGAGCUAUAGCUGCUGGCCUACACCACAGCCACAGCAACUCGGAAUCCAAGUUGCAUCUGCGAUCUACACCAGAGCUCACGACAACGCAGGAUCCUUAACCCACUGAGCAAGGCCAGGGAUGGAACCUGCUUCCUCAUGGAUGGUAGUCAGAUUUGUUUCUGGUCACUUUGAGCGAUGCCUUCUUGACGUGUGCUGGUUGAUGUGCAGGACAGGUUAACACGCUCUCGUCUCUCCCAUGCGUGCAUUUCUCAGUCUUAAUCUAAGACCAGGUAGGAGUUUCUUUAUCUGUGGACUAGUCUACUGGAUUUGGAAUUCCCUCAGAGAAAGGUCAUGUUUUAGUUCAUUUUCUGUCCGGAGCACCUAACAGUUUACGGCACCUAAUGAGGCAAAGAGUGUGUUUUUUUUAAGUGCCAUUUUCUUUCACCGUAAAGAGAAGCUCCCUUGAGCCUUGAAUGUAUACUUGGCUUUUGUAUAAUCAGGCCCCCCAAGAUGGCUCUUCUCUUGCUCUCUGUGUAUCCCUGCUGGACCAAGCCUGCUUCACCUCCACUCACCUCCACCUACUCACUAUUCAUGACCUUCCCACAUACUUGACUUCGCCCCAGCUAUUGGUCAUUCUAACCUUUAGAUCGGAGCAUCUCCACCUGUUAGCUCAUCAAAGGGGCUGUGAGGGGCGUGUCCCUCGCUAGUUUCCUGGUAACCGACAAGCCCACCUGAUGUCAAUUCCCCCAUAACUGGGACUCUUCCCUUCCUCCCGGGAGCGAAGCCUGCCGCCACGUCCUGCCACCCCGUCCUGCCUGGUGUUUGCUGCCCACGGAGAUGUCGCUCCAGGACCUGGCUUCAGAUAUGUAAGUGUCCCCCAUCCACUGAUGUCUCUGUUGCUGACUCCGGGCUCUUUCUUUGGCCUUGAAGCUGGGCAAGCACAGGCCUUGCAGGCUUUUGGGGGCAGCCUGACAAUUGGCUGAGCAGCCGAGAGUCCAAGGAAACUCCCGUGAGCGCCGAGAUGUCGGGAAACAAGGAUGGGGAAUGGAAAGUGGCUUGGCCAUCUACUGGCAUGGCCAUCUACUGGCAUGUGGGACCCAGAAUUUCCAGGGGUACCUCUGAAAGCUGUGGGAGAAAUUCUGGGGUCGCCAUCUGCUAGCCUGUGCGCCCUGCAGUGGUUGUCUUUGAAUGGGGGCAGCUGAGAGAGUGUGGGAAACUCAUUGACACCCCUGAGGGUGGCAGAGAUGUUGGCCGUCAUGACGGGGGAAAAAAAGAAGCUAGAUGAUAAGGCAGUGGCCCCAGCUGGGGGCUGGCUAUAGCUGGCCUCACUGUGAAGUGAGUCAGCAAAAGUGAGCUGCUCUUUGCUGUUCUCUGGGCGUCUCUGAAAAAUUGAGGCAGUUAAUGUGAUUUUGUGGGGGCGAUUGACCAUGGGGGGGAACAGACUCACCAUCUUGCUGUUCCACUUGCCCAUACAUCAGAAGGACCCCUGUUGGUGAACGAUACUGUGCAACUGACAGUCCAGGAGCCCCCCUGCGCUGCGCUGUGUGGAGUGAAACAGGCUGGCUUUGGGACACACAGGUCCAGCUGUGUUUUGUUUGGAAAGAACCAGUGGGUCCACCCUUAGUGGUGCCCAGCAUAACAUGGGGUAACAGAUCUGCACUGUGACUGCUGACUCCUGGCUAGCCCACCAGAAUGUUUGUUUUAGAGCUGGGCUGUCCCCUUCCCAUGGGGGUGGCUCUGGCUUUGUGAAAACCAAGACUGGCCUUGCCUUAUAACUGGCUGGGAUGCUGCCACCAUUGACAGCCUCUCCAUUGACUCUCUAUGUGCUUGACUCCAAAAUUUGUUCCUAUCCUGGCCAGUGGCAGUUGUUAGCAUCCUAGGUAGCUUAUUCUUGAUACUCUGUAGCUGCUGGCAUCUGUACUGUAUUUGGUUGCAGUGCCCCUCUGCAUGCUUGACCCCAGGGAUAUUGCAUAAGGAGGUGGACUGAGCUUCUAAGGGUCAUGCAGGGUAUGUGGGGUGGAGUGUGUGAUCAGCAUCCCCUGCCCCGAGAUGGCUGUUCUCUGGCUCUCUGUACAUCCCCUGUCUCUGUCGCUGACUCCAGGCUCUUUCUUUGGUCUUAAAGCUGGGGGAGUGCCUGCAGGUUGCAGCCCGACAGCUUUCCUCUGAAAUUAGCUUGGACCAUCUCAUGGUUCUACUCUGAAUGUGUUUCUGGCUGCUACGAUCUUCUAAAAAAUAUUGGCGAGUUGGCCUGUAAGAGAAACAGUGAACAUGGGAAACUGCAAAGAAUGGUGAAAAUGAGGCCAGACGGGAGCAGUGAGGAAAGGGUGGGACCAUGUCUCCACAGCUGUUUUUCAUGAGUGGGGUUGACCCAAGGAUGGUCCAUCAUGCCGAACUGUCCAAACGCAAAGUCAACUCAAGGAAAAGUAGAUGUUGGAAAGGGCAGGUGUGUAGGGAUCUGGCCAAUCCCUAGUUUAUCCCCAAGACUUCUGAAUUCAAGAGCAUGUUGCAUUAAGAGAAGGCUGCUUAAUCACUCUGAGUGUGAAGGGCUAACUCGUUGACAUCACUGAAAUUUCAUGAACGUGUGAGGAGUUCUUCCUUUUUCUCUUCUGAUUUCAUGUGUUGACAAUGCCGCCGCAUCAGCUUGGUUUGGGUGCCAUGUGUGACAAGUAAUCAAGAGGUGGACACAGCUUGUCUUCAGCGUCUGGUCGUGUUCAUUUACUGCGUGCUUCCCCUGACUCAGCAGGGGCCACCUGCUUACAUACUUGUUUUACUUGGGUGUCCCAAUCUUCUCUGCUGGGACACGGUCAUGCCCUAAGGAACAGCAUUGAUGGGUUCCAGGCAUGUGCUGUGGAUUCAAGCAGACAUGAGCCUCUCCUUGGCUGAUGAUUUACUGUCUCGCCUUGAGCAGUUACAUAAUCUUUCAGAACCUCCGUGCCUUCAUCUGUAAAAUGGGCACACAGAAAUUAAAUCUCAGCGCUCUUAGGAAAAUGAAAUGAAACAAUUCAUAAACCUUUUUUCUCAGUCUAGUAGUUGGUAUGUUGUACAGUCUCGAUGUAUUUGGACUCUCUUAUUAUUAUGACUGAUUGUUAUGAUUAUUGCUAUUGACGGUAACCAGCAAAAUGAACCUUUCAUAGGGAAUGGUUAAACAUUUCCUGUUUGGAUUCCUUGGGUUUAAUCCAUAGAUGUAUUUGCUUAUGAGGGCCAGUCUUCGAGAAGGGAAUAUCUGUCUUAUUCUCAGGGUCUGCCAAAGCAAAUCUCCAAUAAAUAGGGGUUAAAAUAAUAAAUGAGAGCAUAGUGCUUCUCUUCCUAUUGGUGCUGCUCAAUUCAUCCUCCAGAUAGCUACCUAAUUCACUUGUGAGCAGCCUGUCCAGAAAUUUUUUCCUGCAAGAAGAAGGUUGGGAUAAAAGAUACAGCAAAUCAAUUAUUUUCCUUUCUCCCAGUCUCCUCAUAAACCAGCCUCUCCCAGUUUCUCUUCUAGCUAUUCUGUUUUCUAUUACAUAGAAUGCUUAGGUGAUGUGCCAAUAAGUAAUGUAUGAAUACUUAAUGAAGGUGGCAUGAAUUAUAAAUGGCAUGGAAUUUAUCUACAUAGUUUCCUUGCUGAUGGCAGAAUGGUGCUUUAUCUUCUAUCAAGUCAUAGGAGUCAGGAGGUGAGAAAAGUAGCCAGGUUGAUAAAUUUAAAAAUUGUUACCGGAUGGAUGGCAUCUUAAGUUACAUGGAACCCAAUACUAUGUGGCAGAGGAGAAAAGGCUUGACCAGGAAAUGGGGUGAAUAUGAUGCUGGCAGGAGAGAGAUGGAGGUGGUCCCUAAGGGCACAAUUACUGCUGGAGUAGAGAACUCAGAAUAGAGACAGGCAUAGGCUUGGGUGGGAAUGGCAGUUACCACUUAACUGUGAUUGAGCACCGGUGAGAGAGAGGUCUGAAAGGGGUCCCUAGCCCUCUGAUUCAAGAGGAAGCUGUUAAAUGAUGCUAUCUAGAGAAGGGAUUUCUAUACCAUUCCUCCACCCCAGAGCCAUCUGUCAACAGCUAGCUCCAUACCUACAGUGAGCACAUACUAAGAAAAGUAAUAACCCCCCACAUCUCAAAGGCUUGAUGCAAAGUGUUGCCCUGGCUCACACAGCAGGUACUUCUCCUGGGUCGUUCUCCUCCAAGUAUUGAUUUGGGGGCCCAGGUUCUUUCCACCUUGUGGCUCUGCCGUCUUUAUUAUGUAGAUCCCGAGUGCACUCAGGAGGUCGUCUCCAUGUCAGCCAACCAGAGGAGGCACUAGCCUGGGAGGAUUUUAUGGAUCAGUCCUGGAAGUGGAGAAUUUCAGCUCUGUUCACAUCCAUUUGUCCAGAACUCCGCUGUAUGACUUGCUCCCUCCAAGGAAAGCUGAGAAAUGUAGCCAGGCUGCCAGGUCUAAGCAGUAGCACAUGGGAUGAUCGGCGAGCAGGGUCCGCCCCACAGCUCGAAUUUCCAAAAACAUAGACUCCUAGAAAAGAGUAGUAUAAAUACUGUGGCGGAAAUGUCAUCUUAUAAAGUGUUUACAAACUCUUUGGGCUUUUUUUUUUUUUUAAGCUUCUCUCUUAGACUAUGGUGUUUGCAUGCAAACAGUAGAAAUUCCAGUUAUAAAUGGUUUAAAUUUGUGGGAGGUUACUUGGUAAUAGUUCAUCCGUUGUAAUCAUAGAGCCUUCUCUUUGAAUUGCAUAUAAAAUUAAGCCAUAAAUGUAACAUGGGUAUCAUUAUUGAAAAUGUAGACACUAGAGCAAUGGAUAAGAAAGAAAUGUAGAGUCCCCUCGAUCCCCUGUGAUCAUAGUUUCUUUAAUUUCCAUCUUGUCUUUUUCCUUCACGUACAUUUUUCUGCUCUCUCAGGGGUCAUACAUUUUUCUGAAAAAGGCCAGAUAGUGAACGUUUUAGGCUUAACAGGCUGUGUCUGUCGCAGCCCAAAAGCAGCCAUAGGCCCCAUGGAAACAAGGAAAUGUGGCUGUGUUCCGAUAAACCUUUAUUUACAAAAACAGGAGGGGAGCUUGAUUUGCCCUGAGGGCCGGGGUGCCAACCCCUAUAGCAUAUGAUGGAUCCUGAGAAACGUAUGCAAAGCACUUGAAAGGCCCGCAUGACUGCAGCGCUCGGUAAAUCCUUCUUCCUUGCUCUCCUUAGCUUGCAGUGAAUACAGUUAUAUGACUUCCAAACACUGAAAACGCAAUGGAUUCAAGUCUAGGAAAGCACAGACCUUAGCCAUUGAAAGAAGUCUAUAAGCAUGUGGGUUUGGGAAGGAGGGUAUUUUUACUUAUUUCCUCCCCUGUUGCUUGGAUUAUUAUUAUUUUUUUCUAAUGAGCAUAUUUUACUAUUGUAAUUUUUUUUUAAUUAUUUGAAACGUGUAUUUCCACCUUCUUGCUGACUCAGAGGAGAAUGUUGCAUUUUAAUCCUGAACGUGUGACUUACUUGCAUUUUUCAAUAACCAGCUGCAGUUAGAUUUCAGAAGCGGAGCCUGAACCGCAAGAUCCCAUCGGAAAGAGUUGAGACAGAGCCUGAAACGCUUGGAGGAAGGCAGGAUCUCCACUUCCUCUUGGGACAGAUUAGCUGACAGGGACACUGAGAAAGGGGAAGAGGAGUGGUCUUUGGAGGCGCUCCCUCUGGUCCCUUUGCACAGGGAGCUGUCACCCGUUUCGGGUCCUUGAGGGAGCCCUGUGCUGGUACACAGCAGGCACUUAGCAGUGCUUCUCUCCACCAAUUCCCUAACCUUUAUCCCCAGUAACCAGCACGGUCCCUGGUGUGUAUUCGCUCUGGUUAAACAAACACAGCCUGCGUGUCUUUGGCUGAAUGCAGCACAUCCUUCAUCUCCAUCUUUGGAUGAAGGUAGCGGGUAGCAUCUCUUUACAGGCCAGGUGGCUUUAUUCCUACCUGAGUCGUGCGGAUGCCGCUUGCCCUGCCAGAAUUACAACCCAGAGAUACAUUUCCUGAGACUUCAGGACUGUGGCUCUGAGAGGUGAGAUUACCUGUGUCGGGUGAUCCGAUUAACCUAAAUUAACCCGAGACAACAUCCUGGGAACAUGAGCAUGAAGAAAAGGAGAUAGCACUGUCUCUUGCUGGCUGGUGAGAAACAGAGUUUUUCAUCAAGCUCUCCCCAUGUGUGAUGCGCCGCUUGGUACCUUUCCAAAAUCGGGAAAUGUGAAAACUUUGAAUGCGUCUGCAUAUUUUUCUCCCCCAUGAUUUCAGUUUUCAUCAGCUCCUGGUUUCUCUCUUAAUUUCUCCAUGGACCACAGUUCUGAUUACUCUCCAUCUACCUGGAUGUCUGUCAAAUAUCACACGUGGUUUGUAAAGUAGGACUAAAUGGCC
rnacentral:lncRNA from 1 species